rnacentral:tRNA from 1 species
GCGGGCAUGGUGAAAAGGUAUCAUAGCUGCUUCCCAAGCAGUUGGUACGGGUUCGAUUCCCGUUGCCCGCU